CUUAAUAAAAGUUGUAGUUCUCGUUGAGGCGCACACAUUUUCUGUGAGUCACUAUUUCCGGAAAGAUACCGUUAAACCGUCAGAAGGGCUGCAAUAUCACACAUGUCUGAAACUUUGAGCGUUAAAAAAAAAUACUUCCCGUAUGCUCAGAAUAACCAAAAACUAUACCGCACUGUCUCACGUAAACUCCAAUCGAUCCGGAAAGUUUCAUAACAUUCAAAGAAGCGUUGCGACCUGUAGCGAAUUCCCAUUGAAAAAAUUGGACAAAAAAAAAUUUUUGACUUUGAAGGCGUCCUAGUGCUAAACAAAAAAACAAAUGAAAAUUUGUAAAUAAUCAGAUUAAAGCCUCAUAUUUUUAGAUUAUAAAAAGGUAAAAAUCACUUCUCCACCUUAAUUAGAAAAAAAGUUAUAAGCACUUUUAUCCGACGAGUCCCGAGGUCGUGCGAAAACUCCCAAAAAGAAGCGGCCCUCUAUAAGAGCUACGCUCUUAUAACAAGUAGACGCUUCGCGUCUACUUUAGUCCGUGGGGACCAGUAGAAAUUUUAAAAAUUUUUGUCAGUACUACAAAAAAAAAAUCUCCAAAAUUAUCCAAGGAGUGCCCUAAACACGCAGUGGGGAAGAGACCUGCCGUACCCUCAUAAGGCUCUGAGUUCAAACCUUAGCCUCGGCAUGGUGCUCUACCCAACUUUUUCUUUUUUUAGUACUUGGAAAACAUUAACAUCUAUAAUAAAUCCAAAAAUCUCAUCCAUUAUUCUGUAAGAGACCAACAUACAAAAUUGACGAAACACAAAGUCACGGUCUCACAACAUGUAAUUAAACGGGCUACACGUGUUUCGCUCUAGUUAGAGCAUCAUCAGGCCUUUAGAAGCCAUCCACACACUUAUGCUGUAACUGAUGAUGCUCCAACUAGAGCGAAACACGUGUAGCCCGUUUAAUUACAUGUUGUGAGACCGUGACUUUGUGUUUUUCUUUGUUUUUCGUCAAUCUAUAGUAAAUACAGAGAGAAAAGGAAAGGUCUUAUUAUAUAUUAUAAUCAGAAAUAAAUUUCAUUGAAAUAUUACUAACUUAUUUCUGGGUAUCAUGCUUCAGAGAACCAUGAUGUGUUACAAUACGCUCCGCUCUUUAAUUUUAGUUUAGUAGAAAAUAUUCUCAAAACCUGCAUAUAUCAAAAUUAUGUCAAGGUUCUAAAAUGAAUCGGUAAUAAAAUCGUAAACCAGAUCAACAUUGGAAAUAAUUUAAAAAAUUUGCUUUGGUCCGAUUGAAAAAAGUACUAUACUACCAAAUAGUUACAUCUAUUCUGUAGCAAUAAAAGUUAUAAAAUUCUGUCUAUUAUUAAUUUUAAUAUUAUAAAGUGUAUCGUUUAACUCUUAGCCAUUAUUUACAAUUUAAUUGUUAAUUAUGCCUGAAAAAACGAAUUAACAACUUUGGUAUUGUUUGGAAGGUAAACAGCUUAAUUCCUUUAUGUAAAGCCACCUUAACAUGUUUUUGCAUAAUUCUGACUCACGUUGGUUGCUAUUGGGCUUAAGCCAUAAAAAUCGAAGAAAAAAAGAAGAAGACGAAGAGACUUUCACUUGUCAUUUCAAUGUCACUUUCCGGCCCACAAGCAUAAACGCCACCGGCAACGGAAGUUCCCAAAAUCCAAACAAAUGUUGGAAGAUAUUUUUAAGUCUCCACAUCUUUCUUACUUUCCUAUAUGAAAAUAAAAUUGGACUACACCAACAAAGGUUAUGUGUUUUGCACCAGAUUGAAAGCAUCAUAGCGAAAAACGGACCUGUCAUAUCUUUAAAUUUUCAAAAGAGCCCCUGGAAAAAGAAAAAUGAAUAUCUUUGCCAAGGAAUACUAAGGCAAAUGGAUAAAAAACCUUCAGUCCAUGCAUUGGUAUGUAAUUGUUGACAAAAAUACAAUGAAUGGCCUCACUACUUUUCCACAUGCAAAGAGGUUAACCAAGGAGAAAUUAAAGAAAUUGUCAAAAACCUAGGUAAAUACAGAAUUGCUUAGUACAAACAUAUCUAUACCCAGUACAAGUUCGUCCACUUCUUUGGAGCAUGGUACUUCAAACAGAGACACUGUCAACAAUUUUGUAGAAGGUGAGCCGGUGUCAAAUUUCAGUAAGGGACAUGAUUUCAAUUUUGCACCAACAGCAGAGCUAAAAUUCAUUUUGCCGCAAAAAACUGGAGGAUGUGAAAGAAAAAAGUGCAGAAGUUAAAAUUAAGUUUUUCAUAUGAGCACAUAAAAAAUAAUCAUGACAAAGUUCAGUUGUAUACAGGUUUGACAUGUAAUAAAUAUUUUUGUAAUCUUAUUAAGUUAAUUAGUUUUAUAUAUUAUUUAAAUAAUAAUUGUAUACUUCACAUAGAAUAUGCAGAAAUUAUAUGUACAUAUAUAAAUUUUUUUAUUAAGAUAAGGACAACAUGUAUUAAAGCAUAACACAUAAUAUAAACACACACGUAAUAUCUUCAUUAAAAAUUAUGAUUGUAUGUUAUGUAGCAUUAGAGCCUAAAAACAUUAAGGAGAAUAAAGGUCGUUAUUGGCAAA